UAUUGUCUCACUGUUCAUCUUUCAGGUUAGCUGGGUUCCUGUUCAUCAAAGUAGGAAAAACAGCAGCUGCAUCACUCGGGACAACCAUCCUGCUUGUACAGCUCGCUCAACAUCAAGGCUACAUCCGUGUCAACUGGAACAAGGUUGAACAAGGUGUGAACCGGGCCAAGAAAGAACUCCAUAAAGAAGCCAACAGACGGUAUCCUGGGAUCUUACAAAAUGCAAAGAAAUUUGUGCAACAGAAUGUCUUACUUGCUGGAUCCUUUGCUGGCGGCUUUUUCUUCGGCAUAGCUUUCUGAGUGCCUUGAGUGACAUAGUAACUGUAUCCUGGCAUGAUGUGAUGUGUGAUACAGAGGACAGUGUGUGAUAUUAACAGUGUGGUGCCUCUGUUUGGGGACCACGGGAAUCGUUGACUCAAAGACAUUUGGCGUUUGGGAGCAACUGAGGGAUGAUGUACCAAAUUUUCUACCCUUGUCUGUCCAUACACAGCCUUGAGUUUUCUUGAUCUGACAAAAAAGCUUGGACAGACAUCACACCGACCUGUUUCUAAACUGAAUAUCUGUAUGACCCUGUACCUAGAAAAUGGAAUUCAGUUGAUGUUCAAGAGAAUUAAGUUUAUCUGGUAAUUAGGGUUUAGUCAUUAAUCAGGCUGGUCAGUGCUUGUAGAUCCAUCUGGCAUGGACAUACAGACAUACUUUUCAAUACUUUGUGCAUACACUAUAAACCUAGAAAGUUUAUCAUGUACCUUGAAAUUAAAUUCUUAACUUUACCAUGUGUUUGUUGCAAGAGGCGACAAACGGGAUUGUGUCGUCACCCUCGCCUUGGUUGAUACAUGUCAUUGUAUCCCACUUGUGUGGGUUGAUGCUCAUGAUGUCAAUAACUCGAUUGUCUGGUCCAGAGUUGAUUAUUUAUAAACUGCAGUCCCAGAGCUGGAAUAUUGCUGAGUGUGGCGUUAAACAACAAACAAACAAAACGUAACAGCAGAUGACAGAAACUAAAUUUUGAGUUAUUCCCCCUAGAUCUAUUUCAUUUGGAAAAUAUCAUGAAUAUCUGGAGAAAGGCGUCUUACAUCAUAAUGCAAGAUUGCAUGUUUAAACUACCAUGUGUUUACUAAAAUACACUAUAAGUUAUAGCAGGAUCAAG